rnacentral:tRNA from 1 species
GCCUGGGUGGCUCAGCCGGUUGAGUGUCCGACUUCAGCUCAGGUCAUGAUCUCACAGUUUGUGGGUUUGAGCCCCACAUUGGGCU